rnacentral:rRNA from 1 species
ACUCCUACGGGAGGCAGCAGUGGGAAUAUUGGACAAUGGGGGACCGUACUCAGCCAGCCGCGUGUGUGAAGAAGGCCUUAUGGUUGUAAAGCACUUUAAGCGAGGAGGAGGCUACUAGUAUUAAUACUACUGGAUAGUGGACGUUACUCGCAGAAUAAGCACCGGCUAACUCUGUGCCAGCAGCCGCGGUAAUACGGAGGGUGCGAGCGUUAAUCGGAAUUACUGGGCGUAAAGCGCAUGCAGGCGGCCUGUUAAGUCAGAUGUGAAAGCCCGGGGCUUAACCUCGGAAUUGCAUUUGAAACUGGCAGGCUAGAGUCUUGUAGAGGGGGUGAGAAUUAUCAGGUGUAGCGGUGAAAUGCGUAGAGAUCUGAAGGAAUACCAGUGGCGAAGG